rnacentral:lncRNA from 1 species
UUUUCUUAUGAUAUCUUUGGCAUAAUAGAAGCAUUUCAUUGAAAACUCUACACCAUUACCACUCUUGUCAACUUUGAUUGUAGUUGAAAGUUGAGUAUCAAUCAUAUUAACAAAGUCUUACAAUUCAAAAGAUGUUUCCGCAUUACUUUUUUAAAAGUUCUAAGUAACAUUGAUUACUUUAUUACAGCUAGAGAUACGUAGGAGUAAUCAUUUUCUUAUUACGCACAAAAAAGUUUUUUUGAUUUUUC